rnacentral:rRNA from 1 species
CACGUAGGGGCCAAGCGUUGUCCGGAUUUAUUGGGCGUAAAGAGCUCGUAGGCGGUUGGGUAAGUCGGGUGUGAAAACUCCAGGCUCAACUUGGAGAUGCCACCCGAUACUGCUCUGACUUGAGUUCGGUAGGGGAGUGGGGAAUUCCUGGUGUAGCGGUGAAAUGCGCAGAUAUCAGGAGGAACACCGGUGGCGAAGGCGCCAGUCUGGGCCGACAUUGACGCUGAGGAGCGAAAGCGUGGGGAGCGAACAGG